UACGUAUGGGGCGAGCGUUAUCCGGAUUUAUUGGGCGUAAAGAGCGCGUAGGCGGCUUGUUAAGUCAGAUGUGAAACCUGCGGGCUCAACCCGCAGCGUGCAUCUGAAACUGGCAGGCUUGAGUCUGGUAGAGGAAAGUGGAAUUCCCAGUGUAGCGGUGAAAUGCGCAGAUAUUGGGAGGAACACCAGUGGCGAAGGCGGCUUUCUGGGCCACGACUGACGCUGAGGCGCGAAAGCUAGGGGAG
rnacentral:rRNA from 1 species